GUCGAAGAAAAAAGACUUCGGAUCUUUAAAGGGAAAAUCCCUUCAACU
rnacentral:tRNA from 1 species